rnacentral:misc_RNA from 1 species
GCGUACCUCAAUAAGCUGCUUCUCUAAAUUAACCAAUGGCUUCUCAAAGGCAAGUGUGACUGGUUUCAGUUUCUCAUCAAGAGGCUUAAAGUAGGAAAGAUACUUUAAGGGUGUCUUAGUGUCUGGAUCAAUAUCACCAUGCCACGGGUAAUCUUGCUUCUUCCACUUUUUUAUUUCAGCAGCUAUGCGAAACUUCUUCCUCGUCCUCACUUUGGGACUUCCCAAAUCCUUCAAAUUCAGACCAUACAACCUUU